rnacentral:rRNA from 2 species
UACGGAGGAUCCGAGCGUUAUCCGGAUUUAUUGGGUUUAAAGGGUGCGUAGGCGGGAGAUUAAGUCAGUGGUGAAAGUUUGCGGCUCAACCGUAAAAUUGCCAUUGAUACUGGUUUUCUUGAGUACAAUUGAGGCAGGCGGAAUGUGGUGUGUAGCGGUGAAAUGCUUAGAUAUGCCACAGAACACCGAUUGCGAAGGCAGCUUGCCAAGCUGUGACUGACGCUGAAGCACGAAAGCAUGGGGAUCAAACAGG